rnacentral:rRNA from 1 species
UACGUAGGGUGCGAGCGUUAAUCGGAAUUACUGGGCGUAAAGCGUGCGCAGGCGGCUUUGUAAGACAGAUGUGAAAUCCCCGGGCUCAACCUGGGAACUGCAUUUGUGACUGCAAGGCUAGAGUGCGUCAGAGGGAGGUGGAAUUCCGCGUGUAGCAGUGAAAUGCGUAGAGAUGCGGAGGAACACCGAUGGCGAAGGCAGCCUCCUGGGAUGACACUGACGCUCAUGCACGAAAGCGUGGGGAGCAAACAGGAUUAGAAACCCUAGUAGUCC